UUGGCCCAGUGAGCUAAGAAAUCAGGAUGGGGGAGCAACUUUUGCAUUAAAUACAGCUCACAAAUGAUCUUUCCUGCCCAUUCUCAAACCAUGAAAUUUCCGCACUUCCUGAUAUAGAGGCCUCAGAAACAUCUUUGAUUCCUUUCUCCAGGGGCUUACUAAGCCCGUUGGUUCUACGUCUAUUAUUAAUUCUUUCAAUAAGUAUUUAUGAGGCCUGCUAUGUGACAGGCUCCAUACUUGGCACGGCGGAUAAAAAGAGGAAUAUGACACAGAUUGCAAAAGAGAAACAAGUAAACGGAAAUCAGAGCAUAGUGAUUGUGUAAUAUGUGUAGAGGCUGAUUUAAUCACAGGGAGCACAGAGGACGGUACCUAAAUCAGAAGGGAUCUGGGGAGGUUUCCUGGAAAAGCCAGGUUUCAACCAAAGCCAUAAAUGCUGAUGUGGAUAUCAGGACAGUGUUUCAAGCAAUUUAGAUACAAUAUAAAAUAUACUGAUGCCAUAGUAGAAGAAGUUGAAGCCACUUUGCCAAGAUAUUUGGUUCUGAUACAAAGGAAGUUUUUCUCGGCCUGGUCUUGACUUAACAGUGACUUUAGUACUAUCCUGUUCAGACACCUCAAGUCUUCAGAAGAAAGCAGAUGAUGUGAAAGUAUAUCUAGGUCCCCAAGAGAGAUGCAAAUUACCAGCUGUAUUCCCUCAUGUCAGGAAAAAGAGGGUCCCAUAUAUUUCUUGUCUAAUACAAAAUCGCAGAAGGCUGAAACACAUUAACUAGAAAAGAGAAUGCAAUUUGGAUUCAACUACCUGCUGUCAUGAAAGGUAACAGUAGUUAAUAAUGUUUGCAAUUCAUGGGAUGUUAGAGAUAAAAGAGUCCUCAAAUAUCCUCCAGCAAAAUCUCUCUCCUUUUACAAAUGGACAAACUAAGGACAAGAGAAGAAAGAUGAGUCAAGCCUUCAGUCUUAUGCUGUGAUCUGAUGGUGAGCUAUAAAAUCACUGUCAAGAGAGCCCUUCCAACCACCUGUGCUCCUGGAAUUCAUGAGGGAAACACAUUCCUAAAACAAAACUAGCAACAUCAAGAUAUUACCAAAUGCUAGGCCGGGCGCUGUGGCUCAUGCCUGUAAUCCCAGCAGUUUGGGAGGCCGAGGCGUGUGGAUCAUGAGGUCAGGAGAUCGAGACCAUGGCGAAACCCCGUCUCUACUGAAAAUACAAAAAUUAGCUGGGUGUGGUGGCGGGUGCCCAUAGUCCCAGCUACUCGGGAGGCUGAGGCAGGAGAAUGCCGUGAACCCGGGAGGCGGAGCUUGCAGUGAGCCGAGAUCGCACCACUGCACUCCAGCCUGGGUGACAGAGCAAGACUCUGUCUCAAAAAAAAAAAAAAAAAAAAAAGAAAUUACCAAAUGCUCUUUUUCCACUCUUAUUCUUCAAUCUCCAGUAAUUUAGCACUCUGUUAACUAUAUUAUAAUCUAAAAAGUUCAGGAAUAAGCUGGGCACUGUGGUUCAAGCCUGUAGUCCCAGCACUUUGCAGAUCACUUGAGCCAAGGAGUUCAAGACCAGCCUGGGCAACCUGAUGAAAGCACGUCUCUACCAAAAAAAAAAAAAAAAAAUUAGCCUGGUAUGGUGGUGUGAGCCUGUAGUCGUAGCUACUCGGGAGGCUGAGGUGGGAGGAUCACUUGAGCCCAGGAGCUGGAGGCUUCAGUGAGCCAUGAUUGCUCUACUGCACUGCAGCCUGGGCAAAAGAAUGAGAGCCUGUCUCAAAAAAAAAUCUACUGUAGGGGUGGCUGGCAAGAUAGCCAAAUAGGAAGAGCUUUGGCCUACACCUCCCAGCAGAAGGUAAGUGAUUUCUGCAUUUCCUUUUUUUUUUUUUUUUUUUUGAGAUGGUGUUUCACUCUCGUUGCCCAGGCUGGAGUGCAGUGGUGUGAUCUCGGCUCACUGCAACCUCUGCCUCCUAGGUUCAGGCAAUUACCCUGCCUCAGCCUACCGAGUAGCUGGGAUUACAGGCAUGUGCCAUCACGCCUGGCUAAUUUUGUAUUUUUAGGAGAGACGGGGUUUCACCAUGUUGGCCGGCUAGUCUAGAACUCCUGACGUCAGGCCAUCCACCCACAUCAUCCUCUCAAAAUGUUGGGAUUACAGGCAUGAACCACCACACCUGGCCUGCAUUUCCAGCUGAGGUACACAGCCCACCUCACUGGGACUGGUUACACAGUGGGUGCAGCCCACGGAGGGCAAGCUGAAGCAGGGUGGGGUGUCACCUCACCUGGGAAGUGCAAGGGGUCAGGGAACUCCUUCCCCUAGCCAAGGGAAGCCACGAGGGACUGUGCUGUGAGGAAUGGUGCAUUCCAGCCCAGAUACUACACUUUUCCCAUGGUCUUGGCAACCUGCAGACCAGGAGAUUCCCUUGGGUGCCUAUGCCACCAGGGCCCUGGGUUUCAAGCACAAAACUUGGAGACCAUUUGGGCAGACACCGAGCUAGCUGCAGGAGUUUUUUUUUUUUUUUCGUACCUCAGUGGCACCUGGAAUGCCAGCCAGACACAACCUUCACUCCCCAGGAAAGGGGGCUGAAGCCAGGGAGCCAAGUGGUCUAGCUCAGCAAAUCUCACCACCAUGGAGCCCAGAAAGCUGAGAUCCACUGGCUUGAAAUUCUCACUGCCAGCACAGGAGUCUGAAGUUGACCUGGGAUGCUUGACCUUGGUUGGGGGAGGGGCAUCCACCAUUACUGAGGCAUGAGUAGGUGGUUUUCCCCUCAUAGUGUAAACAAAGCUGCUGGGAAGUUUGAACUGGGUGGAGCCCACUGCAGCUCGACAAAGCCUCUGUAGCUAGAUUGCCUCUCCAGAUUCCUCCUCUCUGGGCAGGGCAUCUCUGAAAGAAAGGCAGCAGCCCCAGUCAGGGGCUUCUAGAUAAAACUACCAUCUCCCUGGGACAGAGCACCUGGGGGAAGGGGCUACUGCGGGCACAGCUUCAGCAGACUUAAAUGUUCCUGCUUGCCAGCUCUGAAGAGAGCAGUGGAUCUACCAAGCACAGUGCUCGAGCUCUGAUAAGGGACAGACUGCCUCCUCAAGUGGGUCCCUGACCCCCGUGUCUCCUUAUGGGGAGACACCUCCCAGCAGGGGUCAACAGACACCUCAUACAGGAGAGCUCUGGCUGGCAUCUGGCGGGUGACCCUCUGGGAUGAAGUUUCCAGACAAGGAACAGGCAGCAAUCUUUGCUGUUCUGCAGCAUCCACUGUUGAUACCCAGGCAAACAGGGUCUGGAGUGGACCUCCAGCAAACUCCAGCAGACCUGCAGCAGAGAGGCCUGACUGUUAGAAAGAAAACUAAAAAACAGAAAGGAAUAGCAUCAACAUCAACAAAAAGGAUGUCCACAUAAAAACCCCAUCCACAGGUCACUAACAUCAAAGACCAAAGGUAGAUAAAUCCACGAAGAUGAGGAAAAACCAGUGCAAAAAGGCUGAAAAUUCCAAAAACCAGAACACCUCUUCCCUCCAAAGGAUCACAACUUCUUGCCAGCAAGGGAACAAAACUGGACAGAGAAUGAGUUUGACGAAUUGACAGAAGAAAGUUUCAGCAGAUGGGUAAAAAAAACUCCUGCAAGCUAAAGGAGCAUGUUCUUUUUUUUUAUUUUUUUAUUUUUUAUUUUAUUUUAUUAUUAUUAUACUUUAAGUUUUAGGGUACAU
rnacentral:lncRNA from 10 species